AGUGAACGCUGGCGGUAGGCCUAACACAUGCAAGUCGAACGGCAGCACAGUAAGAGCUUGCUCUUACGGGUGGCGAGUGGCGGACGGGUGAGGAAUACAUCGGAAUCUACUUUUUCGUGGGGGAUAACGUAGGGAAACUUACGCUAAUACCGCAUACGACCUACGGGUGAAAGCAGGGGAUCUUCGGACCUUGCGCGAUUGAAUGAGCCGAUGUCGGAUUAGCUAGUUGGCGGGGCAAAGGCCCACCAAGGCGACGAUCCGUAGCUGGUCUGAGAGGAUGAUCAGCCAUACUGGAACUGAGACACGGUCCAGACUCCUACGGGAGGCAGCAGUGGGGAAUAUUGGACAAUGGGCGCAAGCCUGAUCCAGCCAUACCGCGUGGGUGAAGAAGGCCUUCGGGUUGUAAAGCCCUUUUGUUGGGAAAGAAAAGCAGCAGGUUAAUACCCCGCUGUUCUGACGGUACCCAAAGAAUAAGCACCGGCUAACUUCGUG
rnacentral:rRNA from 1 species